AACGAACGCUGGCGGCAUGCCUAACACAUGCAAGUCGGACGAGACCUUCGGGUCUAGUGGCGCACGGGUGCGUAACGCGUGGGAACCUGCCCUUAGGUUCGGAAUAACUCCCCGAAAGGGGUGCUAAUACCGGAUAAUGUCUUCGGACCAAAGAUUUAUCGCCUUUGGAUGGGCCCGCGUUGGAUUAGCUAGUUGGUAGGGUAAAAGCCUACCAAGGCGACGAUCCAUAGCUGGUCUGAGAGGAUGAUCAGCCACACUGGGACUGAGACACGGCCCAGACUCCUACGGGAGGCAGCAGUGGGGAAUAUUGGACAAUGGGCGAAAGCCUGAUCCAGCAAUGCCGCGUGAGUGAUGAAGGCCUUAGGGUUGUAAAGCUCUUUUACCCGGGAUGAUAAUGACAGUACCGGGAGAAUAAGCUCCGGCUAACUCCGU
rnacentral:rRNA from 1 species